CAGCCGCCGCGGUAAUACGGAGGGUGCAAGCGUUAUCCGGAUUCACUGGGUUUAAAGGGUGCGUAGGCGGAUCUGUAAGUCAGUGGUGAAAUCUCCAGGCUUAACCUGGAAACUGCCGUUGAUACUAUAGGUCUUGAAUUUUGUGGAGGUUAGCGGAAUAUGUCAUGUAGCGGUGAAAUGCAUAGAUAUGACAUAGAACACCAAUUGCGAAGGCAGCUGGCUACACAACUAUUGACGCUGAGGCACGAAAGCGUGGGGAUCAAACAGGAUUAGAUACCCCCGUAGUCCCUGUCUCUUAUAA
rnacentral:rRNA from 1 species